UACGUAGGGCGCAAGCGUUAUCCGGAAUUAUUGGGCGUAAAGAGCUCGUAGGCGGUUUGCCGCGUCUGCCGUGAAAGUCCGGGGCUCAACUCCGGAUCUGCGGUGGGUACGGGCAGACUAGAGUGCAGUAGGGGAGACUGGAAUUCCUGGUGUAGCGGUGAAAUGCGCAGAUAUCAGGAGGAACACCGAUGGCGAAGGCAGGUCUCUGGGCUGUAACUGACGCUGAGGAGCGAAAGCAUGGGGAGCGAACAGG
rnacentral:rRNA from 1 species